UGCUGUUAAUUUACGUCAAAAUUUUAACAGUAUAAACCUGUUAUCUUAAAAAGCAGUGCUUACUUGUUUAUUUACGUUCUGUGAAAUGACGUAGAUAAAAUUUAACGUUAUUUUACCGUAUUUAUUGCACGAAGGAAAGAAAACAGUACUUAACAGUAUUUUGGGAACAGAAAGCUGCAGCAAGCACAUGUGGAUUUUCAUCCGUCUUUAUAUUGUGAUUUAACCGUGCUAAAACCGUCAACGUGCCAACGGCAUCAUAGAUUGGAGCUGGAUUGAUUCAGAUAUUCCCCGAUUACAAGUGCAAUGAGCAUUGUGAAUGAAGAUCUGAGAGGUAUCAUCCUCAGAACGUUGCCAACAAUUUCCAAAGACACUCUACAGGCAUUGAUAGACAAGCUAUUAAACUCUGGUCUGGAAUCUACACAAGACCUGAAAUAUGUGAAUCAAGAAGAUAUUGCUGACCUACUGCCGGCCAUUCAAUUA